rnacentral:rRNA from 1 species
UACGUAGGUGGCAAGCGUUGUCCGGAUUUAUUGGGCGUAAAGGGAGCGCAGGCGGUGACUUAAGUCUGAUGUGAAAGCCCACGGCUCAACCGUGGAAGGUCAUUGGAAACUGGGUCACUUGAAUAUAGAAGAGGAAAGUGGAAUUCCAUGUGUAGCGGUGAAAUGCGUAGAUAUAUGGAGGAACACCAGUGGCGAAGGCGACUUUCUGGUCUAUUAUUGACGCUGAGGCUCGAAAGCAUGGAUAGCAAACAGGAUUAGA